CAGGAGUCGGAGUGCGUGAGCGAGCGGAAAACAAACCGGCCUCCCCCUCCCCUCUCUUCUUCCUGUCUGUAAUGCCUAGCAGUGAUGGAUAGACACUUGCUGGCGUAUAGAGGAACCUAUUUGGACUGGCGUGUCAGCCCAUCUUUAUCAAAUGUUGCAGAGAACCCCGCUCCACUGCUCCCUUCCCUCCACUUCCCCUUCUUCCUCCAAUUUAGCCGCUGUGAGCUGUAGGAUUGAAGCUCUAGAGUGAGCAUAAGCAUUGGUGUCCGCUCCCCACCAGUUGCACGAGGGAACAAAGCGAUGCUUCGGGGGGUAGAUAUCGAUUCCCGCUGCAUGGCUGGGGUGCUAACAAAACCCCAUCUCAUGACAACCAGCUGCCAUGCCACGCAGCCAUUGGCCAAGCCUCAGCAGUGCCUCUGCCAAUCAAAGCGCCACUGAUGGCCCCUGUUUGAGCAUGACCUCAGAAUGACAUCACUGAAAAGGCAUUAAAGUAAUAAAGGGUUUGCUAGUACAAUACAGUAAAGGGCAGGGCAACAUAAAGCCUCAUCAAUCAAAGCAUAUACAGAAUUCAAAUGGAGGCGUUUCACUCUUAGUUGAAUGAGAGGUCAUCACUCCCAGAGCAGCAUUUCUUGGAAAAACUUCCUUCUAUGAGUCUAUCGGUUCUGUUGUAAUGUUUCUAGUAUAUCUGGGGUGCACACCUUGUCUGUAAAGUGGGGAAAGGUUGUGUGUGAGGCUGAAGGUAAAUUACCACAUAGGAAGUGGGGAUCAAUAGUAAAUCCUCCUGAGCUGUAGGUAUUUCUCCUGAGAUGUGGGGACUCUAAGUCAAAUCAAUGAACACCACACUGGGCAUCUUGGACUUGAUGGAAGUUUGGAGUUAUGGGAAUCCAUCCUGAGAUGUUAUAGCAGCUAUCAUAAAGGAGAGAAAGACUAGUGUGCUAAAUCAAAACAGC